CCUAAGAACCUUAAUGGGAAAAAAUCCCUUCUGUGAAUGCAGGGUGGUCUAGUCUAGUAAUGGCAAAUCUUUUAGAACCUUUUAGAGAUCAUGUGCUGUGCUGUGCCCCUAGAGACCAAGUGUUCCCCUUCUCCCCCACCUCCCUGUCACCUUACCCCAGAUAGGAGGGAAAAAGGUGGAGAGUGGUCUGAGUAUUCUACUCAGGGGAGGGAGUAAGCACAGAGAUGCAGGGAGGCACAGUGGAGGGGGGAAGGGAGCUGCUCCACUAGAGUCCCUCUGCCUUUCUAGUAAUUAACUCAGGUCUAAUUGCGAGCACCACUGGAGUACAAAAGAGGAUAGCAUAAUGACAACAUACAAGACGUUUUUAAUACUGAAACAGAGUUGAUGUCCUGAAUUUUCCUUCCACAUGUAAGGAGGAGCAGAAGCAGAGCCAGCAUCCUUCCUUUCCCUGAAGAUCUCCCUGGGGAUCAAACUGAGGGUUGGCAGAGAGGACCAGCAUGGCCCCAGAAAUCCUGCAGCUGCUGUUGCUGCUGCUGCUGCCGUCCCUGGGCAUCUCAGGCAAGCCACGGAGGAGUGUGGUUCAGCUCCCGGGCUCUGGAAGACAAGACGUUCAGACUGAGAAGGCACACAAACUGGAGGGGGAGACAUUCAGUGCGAACUGCUCCUAUACGCUCCAGGAAAAUAAAACUAUUUGGAUUUCUUGGUGUAAAAUGCAAGAGAAUAGAGAGGACUGCAAUAUAGUACCCUUAGAAACAAGGUCCAGUUUUAAAGUAGCAGACCGAAUAUACUUGUCCUCUGCUGACGUCAAUAGUGGCAUCGUCACUAUCAUGAUGUCGGGACUCAGAGAAAAUGAUUCAGGUUUCUACAAGUGUGGAAUUCUAUCAAAUUCUCCUGAGAAUGAAGUCAUCAGGAGAUUCCACCUCCAGGUGUCCCCAGCUCAAACACAGAGCCCCAGGAAUCGUAUCCAGGCUAACUCAGAGGACACUUCCAACAACACUAACAGUUCUUCAGAGAAGAAAUUCAUCAUUUUGGGUGUGGUCCUGUCUUGCCUGCUCCUAUUAGUGCUCCUUCUUGUAGGCAUAAUUUGUGCCAGAAGAAUCUACCAGAGAGCAGAGAAAGGGCUCUAA
ensembl:lncRNA